ensembl:lncRNA
UUGAGAGUUAAGCAUGUUCUUACUUUAAUUUAGUGGUUUGUGUGACUUGAAACACCUAGCCUGGCAGUUUGGCAACACGUAAGACCUCACCAAAUUUAACAAACUAAACUUUUUGAUUGAUACAAUGGGGAGCUUUUGAAUAAAAAAACUGGGGGGUAAAUGGCAUGCUACACAUUUUAGGUAGGACACAGCACAACAAGAUAGGUCAUAUUUAAAUAAGUGUGAGGGUUGCAACUAGUUUAAGUCCUGUGCUCCCAUCACGGUCUGUUAGGGCCGACCAUGAGAGCUGGAGGCAGGCAGGAUUCGUGAUACCAGCUCGACGGCCCGAGUGACUACAUGGAUGAAUCCACCACGCUGAGUCACCCUCAGCAGGAGAAGAAGACUGCUGUGGGACUGGACUGGGCGGCUUUGAACUUAGCUGAUGGUGUCAUGGACCUCUAACUCAAUGCAUGGAGACGAUUUGGGAACAAUGAUGUGAAGUGAAACCUUUUGCGACCAUUUCCUUCGGCACUUUCUGGGUUCCAGAACCUGAUUCAUGAAUGUUUCUUUGGGGGAGAUGGUAGAAGGCCUGACCUUGUUAUGUCUGGAAAACAUCAACGAGGGUGAUGGAGCUGGAUGCUGAUGACAACCAUCACAAAUUCAUAUAUUUGGAUGAGGCAGGCGAGGAGAGGUCGAGGCCCUGGCCAAGACAGCGAGGAGAUGUCGGAAUUUCAUUGGCAAGCUGGCAACCAUCCAAGUACCUGGACAACGUGUGGCCAACAUUACCAUGUGUACGGCUAUAUCAGAAGAUGGUGAGGUGAGACGCAGACCUCGUAUUGGAUCAUAUAAUGCAGCUCUCCUUGUAACCUUCCUUGAUGUGCUUGAUCAGGUCUGUAGAGCUGAUGGCGUGACCUAUGUCAAUGUGUGGGAUAAUGUCAGGUUCCACCAUGCUCAUAUGGUGCAAGCAUGGUUUCAGGCCCAUGCACAAUUUACCACCCUGUAUUUACCCCCAUACUCUCCUUUUCUUAACCCGAUUGAGGAAUUUUUCUCCACAUGGAGAUGGAAGGUUUAUGAUAGGCAACUCAUGAACAAGUCACUCUUCUCCAGGCCAUGGAUGAUGCAUGCAAUGAUAUCACGGCAGAGUAGUGUCAGGCCUGGAUUCGCCAUGCCUGAAGGUUUUUUCCAAGAUGUUUGGCUAAUGAAAACAUCCAUUGUGAUGUAGAUGAGAACCUGUGGCCAAAUCCACAAGACAGAGUUAAUGUACAAGUACAGUAAUCACUCCUAUGUUAUGGUUUUUACAGUACAAGCAAGCAAGUUGAGGAACAUUGCAUUUGAUGUUUUACAGUACUGUCUUUUCUAUUUCGUAGCUAAUUAUUUUGCUUUGAUUAAAUUAACGUUUCAAUG